rnacentral:rRNA from 1 species
AGCAGUAGCCGCGGUAAUGCGAAGGGGGCUAGCGUCGUUCGGAAUUACUGGGCGUAAAGCGCACGUAGGCGGAUAUUUAAGUCAGGGGUGAAAUCCCAGAGCUCAACUCUGGAACUGCCUUUGAUACUGGGUAUCUUGAGUAUGGAAGAGGUGAGUGGAAUUCCGAGUGUAGAGGUGAAAUUCGUAGAUAUUCGGAGGAACACCAGUGGCGAAGGCGGCUCACUGGUCCAUUACUGACGCUGAGGUGCGAAAGCGUGGGGAGCAAACAGGAUUAGAUACCCCGGUAGUCCCUGUCUCUUAUAC